rnacentral:rRNA from 1 species
GGCUAACCUGCCCUUAGGACGGAAACAACCCCGGGAAACUGGGGCUAAUAUCCGAUAGGUGAGGAGGCCUGGAAUGGUUCUUAAUCUAAAAGGCGUUGAGACCAUGCUUUUCAACGUCGCCUAAGGAUGGGGCCGCGCCCGAUCAGGUUGUUGGUGGGGUAACGGCUCACCAAGCCUAUAACCGGUACGGGCCGCGAGAGCGGGAGCCCGGAGAUGGGCACUGAGACAAGGGCCCGGGCCCUACGGGGCGCAGCAGUCGCGAAAACUCCGCAAUGCGCGAAAGCGUGACGGGGCUACCCCGAGUGCCGUCCGCUGAGGAUGGCUUUUCCCCGGUGUAAUGAGCCGGGGGAAUAAGGAGAGGGCAAGUCUGGUGUCAGCCGUCGCGGUAAUACCAGCUCUCCGAGUGGUAGGGAUGAUUAUUGGGCUUAAAGCGUCCGUAGCCGGUUUAGCAAGUCUCCUGCCAAAUUCAGCGACUUAAUCGUUGAGCCGCGGGAGAUACUACUAGGCUAGGAGGCGGGAGAGGCCGUCGGUAUUCUCGGGGUAGGGGUGAAAUCCUAUAAUCCCGGGAGGACCACCAGUGGCGAAGGCUGUCGGCUAGAACGCGCUCGACGGUGAGGGACGAAAGCUGGGGGAGCGAACCGGAUUAGAUACCCGGGUAGUCCCAGCUGUAAACGAUGCGGGCUAGGUGCUGGGGUGGCUACGAGCCACUUCAGUGCCGCAGGGAAGCCAUUAAGCCCGCCGC